CAUUUGAUUCUAUUUGUUUAAGCAUUUACUGUGAGAAUAUAUAUUUGAUAUUUGAUUUCAUUUGCAACAGCUUUUUAUUCAACAACUGAUCCUAUUGUCUAAUUAAUGACUGAAUGGAUUGUUUUCUGCAGAAUAACAUAUCACAGAUACAUGUAAUGAUAAUUAGUAAUGAAUUCUUCCUUUCAUUGAUUAUGAAUCGUUUCCACUAUUGAUAUUCCAAAUCCUAAUGUGUAUAACUGACUAUUUUGUCGAAAGGGAAGAGUAUUUUUGAACUCUUUCCUGGUGUAUUUAGUCGUUUACUAAUUUUGAAAUGAUGACCAGAAGAAAAAGUUUUGCUAAAAUACAUUGUAUAAGGUUUUCAUUAUGAUCCAAGUUCAUUUUCGAUCGAAAUUCAAACCAAAUGCAGCUUGGGCUUACGUAAAUUAUCUGUUUUCAUUAAAUUACCAAAGACCUUUCCUAUUAAGGUACAUUGUUCACUUAAACCUAAUUAGCGAUCCCAUUUACGUGAACCCUUCAUAAUGUAAAGGAAAAUAAAAGCUACAGUGAAUUGAAUAAAAAAAAAAGAAUAAAUAUACCACCUGACAAUCUAGAUAACAAAUAUGAGAAAUUGACAUUUAUUUUUCAUGCACUAGGUCCUUUUUAUAAAAUGUCUAGAAUAUGCAAAUAAAGUCAUAAAGUUAUGUGGAAAUCCAUAAAUAACAUCCAAUUAAAGAAAAAUAUGUGUCUACUGUAUCACUUUGGCACUGUGAAUUUCCUCAUUCUAAUGUUAAGAAUACUAGACAUUUUACGUUGUUUUAUAUCCAAAUCAUCGCGAAAUCAAUUUGAUGAAAUUGUAUUUACUUCCCCACAUGCAUUGCAGCAUUUUAAUUACGUACACAAGACAUCAAGAAAUACACUUGUUAAUCCAAAUAUUUCCAUACAAUUUUCAUCCAAGCUAGUUAGAUAAACUUAAUUUGUAUUAUAAAAAGCAAAGUAUCAAAGCUUUAUAUAUAGAGGAAACCAAGUUCCAUUACAUGUAAAUAUCGCAAUAUGUUCCUUGUGUUGAC
rnacentral:lncRNA from 1 species